rnacentral:lncRNA from 10 species
GCUGGGAGUUCUGGAAUAAAUACAACUUGCAAAGGGUUGUAUUCAGAACAUUCCUACAAGUCAACAAUAAAAGACAAACAGCUUAGUAGAAUAAAUGGUGAAAAAUAGAAACAAAAUUCACAGAAGGAACCUGAAUGCCUAAUAAAAAUAUAAAUGGGAGUUCAACCUCACCAUGACAAGGGAAAUGCAUGGGCAAUCCAACUUUACACUCAGCAUGACUGCAAACAUUACAGAGUCCAUUAAAAUGGUGAGGAGCUGAGCAACAAGACCCACUCGCAGGAGGGGUACAGAGGAUGCCCUGUGACCCCGCAACUCCACUCACAGGAAAUGCCUAGGGAAUCUCUCACACUUGAGAAUGACUGCUGCAUUGUUGUAAUAUUGAGAAAUUGGGGCCAACCUAAGUACUCACCAACAGGAUGUUGUUAAAUAAACUGUGAUAUCUACUCAAUGGAAUAUCACACCCCACCUAGGGGAGCAGAGGAGACUGUGUAUGGACACAGACAGCUCAUGAAGGUAAGGGAGAAAGAAAAGCAACUCACAAAGAUACUGAUUUAUACGGUUUACAAAUACACGUACAGUGAAAAAUGACACCAUCAAGCCAGGCACAGUGGUGCACACUUACAGUCCCAGCUACUUGGGAGGCUGAAGCAGGAGGAUCACUUGAGCCCAGAGGUUUGAGUCCAGUCUGGGCAACACAGGAAAAACUCUGUCUCAAAAAAAAAAAAAACUUUUAAAAUGACCAUAUCAUGGAAAAUUCUGGAGAGCAGUUAUCUUGGGACAGAGAUGAGGCAGUUGGCGGGGCGGGGCGGGGUGGGGGGGAACAGGGGACAGGGGUGGUCACAGGAGUCCUAGCUGCUCUGAAGUCGUGAGUGGGGACAGCAGAGCCUGUUCAGGAGGCUGCUGACUGUCCAGGGCUUUGCUGAGUGCCUGGCUCUGCCAAUGGGAGGUUACCAGCAGGAGAGCCUGGAGUGUCGAGGAGUCACCACGGCCCUGCACUCAGUUAAUGCUCUACUGUUGCUGUCUGGAUAUCACUUGACUUUUGGGUGUGGUUGGUGUUGCUUUAAGUUUCUGGGGAUAGCAAAAGCUUAAGAAGUGACUCUUGCCAUCACAUGGCUGACCACCUCUGGUGAGAACACUGGAGAAUAGUUUAGGGGUGCCCGAGUUUCCCCCACUGCAUAGAGCCUGGUGCCAGGGAAGACAGGCUGGACCUGGCUGUGGCCCCUUGAAUGGUCUCCACACACUGGGUCAUUAGUACCCACAAGCAAUCACUGUUGAGUUCAUGAACUCUCAGGCUGGAGCUCAGCAGUCCCACUAGGGACCACCACUGGGGUCACAAGAUGGCCUUGAUCCCCAGUUAUCUGGAUCCCCAGUUCCCUGAACCAGAGCAGCUUCCUAAACUCCCUAGUCCAGCAGAGGUUAGGGCUCGCUUUCCCUGCUAGAGGGGCCUCCUCCAAACCCCACAGUGCCCCAACAACACUUCCUGUCCUCUGGUAGACCCUUACCUGCCUGUGUCUUGCACAAAGUGCACACUGGGAGGCAAGAGCCUGUCUCUGCAGUAAGAAGGGCUUGGGUCAGCAGGCUCCUAACAGCCUGAGUGACCUCCUCAUAGCAUGGGGUCAGUGCAGCGGCAAUGUCUGGGUUGUUGAGGGUUUUGAUGGGUGAUCAAUGCUGGAGGAUCCUCCCUCUGCCUUCCCCAUCCAACACAGAUCAUCUCCAAUGUGCCAGACCUGUGCUGGGCAACAAGGUUGGCUGAGAUGGCCUGAGACAGGGUCCCUUGAUGAACAGUCCACUGGGAAUGGGGCCUGCAGUGGCCCUGGAUGAUUUCAGUAUCUGCCACUCACCUUGGUCAUGAUGCCACAGAGAGUGUGGCAUGGCCAGGACUGUACCUGGGGCAGAUGGUCUUGCUCUUUGGUUCUGGGGAGGAGCGCAAAGUGACUGGGCUCAGGUGAAGGAGCUGUUGGCUUAUGAGGAGGCUGCUCCAAGAAGCAAAUAGGAGACAAGGAACCACUGGCCUGCAGAUGGGGCAGGAUCCUGGACCUGGGCCCCCCGAGUCACCAGCCACAUGGCCUUGGGAGUGUUACUUACUCCUGUGAUUGUAGCACAAUGAGGGGUUAGACUACAAAGUCCCUCAGGCCCUGACCAGCUCUGGGGAAGAAGGCCUAGGACUGAGAGAGGCAGCAGGGAGGCUGGCCAGGGUCACCUCCCAGGUCCAGGCAGCUUUCCUGCAAGUGUUUCCUAAGCUGUCCUUCUCCAGGGAGAAUAGCCUCAGCCCUGCCUGACAGGAGGCGGCAUACACCUGAGCGCCUGACAGUACCCUCGUGAACCUGCCUGAGGGUGGCCACAUUCCCACACCCCAUGUGUGCCUAUCUCCAUCAGCACUGAGAAGACAGCAAACGCCAGCUUGCCAGGGGUUUACCCAGAAAGCCCAGCGCAUACCCCCAGAGUGUUCUGGCAGACCUGUGCCAGCUGGGUUCAGUGACAGUUCAUCCUGCCAUGGGCUCUGGUCUCCCCAUCACCCUCUGAGGGGGAAGCAGGAAGUUGUGAGGGGUAGCCGGGCCUGACCUCUCUUCCCUGGCACGAUGCUGUCUCCCUGUGCAAAGUGGGGACUUCAGGCAUUUGGUGUGGAGGAAUGGGUGGUGGGAUUGAAAACCCCUACCAGACCCCUGUCACACCAAGGAGCCCAGCGAUGGGGGGGUUUCUUCCCUCCCUCUGAGGUAAGACCAAUCUGUUAAACUUUCAGUACUAAAAAAUAAAACCGAGUGGGAGGAAGGUGAGGACUGAAAAACUACAUAUCAGGUAUCAUGCUGAUUACCUGGGUGACAAAAUUAUCUGUACACCAAACCCCUAUGAUCCAAUUUACCCAUGUAACAACCCUUGAACCUAAAGUUGGAAAGAAAAAAAAAGGUAAAAUUAACAAAUCCAUAUUAGUGUGAGCUGGGUGAGUAGUUUAGUCUGAAAUGACAGAAUAUUCAUUUUUCGUCUCUCUGAGAUAGUGACCACACUGUCCUCACCAGGA